rnacentral:rRNA from 1 species
UACGAAGGGGGCGAGCGUUGUUCGGAUUUACUGGGCGUAAAGGGCGCGCAGGCGGCGGACCAAGUCAGGCGUGAAAGCCCCGGGCUUAACCUGGGAGGUGCGUCUGGGACUGGUUUGCUAGAGUUCGGGAGAGGAGAGUGGAAUUCCCAGUGUAGAGGUGAAAUUCGUAGAUAUUCGGAAGAACACCAGUGGCGAAGGCGGCUCACUGGACCGGUAUUGACGCUGAGGUGCGAAAGCGUGGGGAGCAAACAGG